rnacentral:rRNA from 1 species
UACGUAGGGAGCAAGCGUUGUCCGGAAUCAUUGGGCGUAAAGCGCGCGUAGGUGGCUUCGUAAGUCCGUUGUGAAAGUCAAAGGCUCAACCUUUGAAAGCCGAUGGAUACUGCGGAGCUAGAGUACGGAAGAGGCGAGUGGAAUUCCUGGUGUAGCGGUGAAAUGCGCAGAUAUCAGGAGGAACACCAAUUGCGAAGGCAGCUCGCUGGGACGUUACUGACGCUGAGACGCGAAAGCGUGGGGAGCAAACAGG